UUUGACUAUAUCAUUGCCUUCAGGCCCUGAGAGAUGAAUAGGAAAGUUACAGGAAAUUAGAUGGAAGAAAGCAGAUUUGGCAAAAAUGCCUUCUACCAAGCUAGACGAAUAGCCCAUCUAGUUCCAGAUUGUUUACUCUGGUGAGCAGCCCUGGUCCUUGAUAGCCUUUUCUUUUAAGAGGAAAGGCUGGGAAUUGAACCCAUGACCUCAUCCAUUCAAGGCUAGGAUCUUCCUGCUGUCUCCAGCUUGUGACCUCCCAUUUCUGAAGCAGUGUCUUCCUAAGGGCACUUUUGGGACAGAACAAACAAAAGAAAAGGCUUUCUCUUCUUCUGCUGAUGGCUAACAGGAAUCCCACAUAUGUCCAAUUUUAAGGAGCAGAGUUUGUUCAACAGCAUUUCUGGGUAGCUUACAUCAGGCAGGUCAGCUGGUUUGCAGCUGGAGACCUCUGGUAACUCGAACCUCAUCCCUGGCAUUCUUGUAAUGGAUUGAUAUCUCCAGCGUCUCAUCCCCCUUUGUUUCUCUCUAAUGCUUCUAUCAUCAAGGCUAAACCAUUGUCGCUUUGUGCAGUAAUGUGAGGAAAUACGGCUUCUGUUCAAUGUAAAUCUCAAUUUUAGUCUAUCAUUGAGUUUUAAAGUAACAUAAGACUCGAAUAGCGUUCAGAUUUGAAGAAAGAUCUUUCCUUAAGCUUUGAGUUUUAAAUCAUUGAUCUGUUGUAUUUAUUAGAGGUAUUAUAUAGUUGAAUCAAUUUUAAGUAUUUGACAAAUGUUUUUUUGAGACUAAAGCAUGUCUGCAUAUCCUUGCUGGAAUAAAAGAAAAGGAUUGUGUUAA